CGGCUCCGGGGAUGCUGCGGCAGCGGAGCCCCAGCCCGGCAGCCCGAGCCCGCCGCGGUGCGCGGACACUGCGCUGCCCCGCCCGCCUCUCCUCCGGAGGAGGAAUUCGGAUCCUCGGGGAGACGGGAGGGGAGGAAAAGCCUUUCAGCAUCGCGCGGUGCCAGACAGACCCUGGAUGGGAUGAGCUCCAGCUGGUGACAUCCAGUGCAGGGAAUGAUGUCAUCUGCCUCAUCCCAUUGGCAGAAGGUUGCCACCACCUUGAAGGAAGAAUGGAUUGGGAGAGCAGCUGGCUCCUGCAAGAGGCCCUGUGAGACCCGGCUGCAGUGCCCAGACUGUUUCCCUGUAGGUCGUGCAGACACUGGAAAUGGCUCUGAGGUCUCCAGGCUGAGCAGCCCCAGUUCCUCCUGCCUGUCUCCACGGGGGAGGUGCUCCAGUUCCCUAUGGCAGCCAUAAACACAGACUUGCAGAGGUCUCUGGCUUUCUAAGAAUGAGGAUCACAGGGUGGAAGCUGGCAAAGUCCGGAGCCUCUGGAGCGGGAUGUGCAGGCAGAGCCUUGCAGAAGGAAUGCCAAAGGGUGUGCGAGCAAACAGACAAAUUGCUGGUGGCAGAACUUCUUGGAAAUAAACCUGGCAAAUUAGAACUGUUAAAGCAACUGCUGAAAUGGCUGCUGCCAUUGAAUUGUCAAAA